rnacentral:tRNA from 1 species
GCCUUGGUGGCUCAGUGGUUUGAGCACUGACCUAUGAACCAGGAGCUCAGGGUUCGAUUCCCGGUCAGGGCA